UACGUAGGGUGCGAGCGUUGUCCGGAAUUAUUGGGCGUAAAGGGCUCGUAGGCGGUUUGUCGCGUCGGGAGUGAAAUCCACUGGCUUAACUGGUGGCUUGCUUUCGAUACGGGCAGACUGGAGGUAUGCAGGGGAGAACGGAAUUCCUGGUGUAGCGGUGAAAUGCGCAGAUAUCAGGAGGAACACCGGUGGCGAAGGCGGUUCUCUGGGCAUGUCCUGACGCUGAGGAGCGACAGCUAGGGGAGCAAACAGG
rnacentral:rRNA from 1 species